rnacentral:rRNA from 1 species
UAACUAUAACGGUCCUAAGGUAGCGAAAUUCCUUGUCGGGUAAGUUCCGACCCGCACGAAAGGCGUAACGAUUUGGGCACUGUCUCAACGAGAGACUCGGUGAAAUCAUAGUACCUGUGAAGAUGCAGGUUACCCGCGACAGGACGGAAAGACCCCGUGGAGCUUUACUGUAGCCUGAUAUUGAAAUUCGGCACAGCUUGUACAGGAUAGGUAGGAGCCAUUGAAACGUGAGCGCUAGCUUACGUGGAGGCGUUGGUGGGAUACUACCCUAGCUGUGUUGGCUUUCUAACCCGCACCACUUAUCGUGGUGGGAGACAGUGUCAGGCGGGCAGUUUGACUGGGGCGGUCGCCUCCUAAAAGGUAACGGAGGCGCUCAAAGGUUCCCUCAGAAUGGUUGGAAAUCAUUCACAGAGUGUAAAGGCAUAAGGGAGCUUGACUGCGAGACCUACAAGUCGAGCAGGGUCGAAAGACGGACUUAGUGAUCCGGUGGUUCCGCAUGGAAGGGCCAUCGCUCAACGGAUAAAAGCUACCCCGGGGAUAACAGGCUUAUCUCCCCCAAGAGUUCACAUCGACGGGGAGGUUUGGCACCUCGAUGUCGGCUCAUCGCAUCCUGGGGCUGUA